UGCUUUAUUGAGAGAGAGGGGUAGAGACGAGGCAACAGUCAUGCGUGCGGUAUUGAUUUCACUUACUGGUUUGAUGCUGCUUUCCGGCAGCGCGGCGCAGGCUGCCGUGUCCAUUCUCGUCGAUAAGGACGCGCAGCAGAUGACCGUCUCGGUCAACGGCGUGACGAAGUACACCUGGCCCGUCUCCAGCGGAAAUCCCUCGCACGAAACACCCAACGGCAGCUUCAAGACCUUCCGCAUGGAGGAAGAUCAUUAUUCGAAGG
rnacentral:misc_RNA from 1 species